GAUGAACGCUGGCGGCGUGCCUAAUACAUGCAAGUCGAGCGAACGGACGAGAAGCUUGCUUUUUUGAUGUUAGCGGCGGACGGGUGUGUAACACGUGUAUAACCUACCUAUAUGACUGGGAUAACUUCGGGAAACCGGAUCUAAUACCGGAUAAUAUUUUGAACCGCAUGGUUCAAUAGUAAAAGACGGUCUUGCUGUCACUUAUAGAUGGAUCUGCGCUGCAGUAGCUAGUUGGUAAGUUAACGGCUUACCAAGGCAACGAUGCAUAGCCGACCUGAGAGGGUGCUCGGCGAAACUGGAACUGAGACACGGUCCAGAGGACUAAGGGAGGCAGCAGUAGGGAAUCGGCGGCAGUGGGGGAGAGCCUGACGGAGUAACGCCGCGUGAGUGAUGGAAGUCUUCGGAUCGUAAAAAUCUGUUAUUAGGGAAGAACAGAUGUGUAAGGAACUGUACAGAUAGUGACGGUACCUAAUCAGAAAGCAACGGCUAACUACGUG
rnacentral:rRNA from 1 species